UACGGAGGGUGCAAGCGUUAUCCGGAAUCACUGGGCGUAAAGGGCGCGUAGGUGGUCUGUUAAGUCUGGCGUUAAAGCCUGGGGCUCAACCCCAGAUCAGCGUUGGAUACUGGCAGGCUAGACGGUUGGAGAGGCGAGUGGAAUUACCAGUGUAGCGGUGGAAUGCGUAGAUACUGGUAGGAACACCCAUUGCGAAGGCAGCUCGCUGGACAACACGUGACACUGAGGCGCGAAAGUGUGGGGAGCAAACCGGAUUAGAUACCCCGGUA
rnacentral:rRNA from 1 species